UUAACUAGCUGGAACGAGGAUGAGCGCUGAGAGAACCUGAGAUGUGCGGCAACCUGGCUUGGAUCGAGCUCCAGCUUUCCCUCCUCUGGGCUCGCAGGCUCUCGCAGAACAAAUCUCUCCCAGAGCUGUGUCACCUCUGUGAGCAGAGCCUGGAGCGGUCUGGCCUGCUCACGGCUGAUCCGAGUGCCCCUCCAUCUGCUCUUCCUCCAGAAAUAAGGCAAGGGUUUUCUCAGAAAUCUGUCGCUGGAAAUCUGGUAGCAGGCUUGCUUAAUGCAGCAAGGGAUUUAAUUAGGUUUUCCCAGAGAGAGGAGAGGAAGGGAAACGGCGAGCAGCUGCUGGCAUCUCCGUCUGCAGCCUCCCUCGCUGCCCCUCCCUCCUCAUCGCUGGGGACGGAAAAGCUGUGCUUGUGGCUUGGUGCAUCUGCAGAACGCGGUGCCAACAAAUGCGACCUGUCUCUCCUGCUUCGUUGCCUCUCUCCUCUCCUCCUCUCGGAACGGAGCGGUCCUGCUCCGGCGGGGCAGCUCUCUUGUGUCCAAGCGAAAUGGCCGAGCCCAGAUUAUGGUAACGCGAGCGGGUUCGAACCACCCGCUUCCGUGGAGCACAAACGGGCUCCUCAGCUGGAAGAUGAGCGCGGUGCACGACGUGCGGACCGAGGCGCGGGAGCGGCCCAGCCGGCGGACGGUGGACCAGCUGAGCCCGGAGCUCCGCGUGGAGAAGUACAUCCUGCUGAGCAUGGACGGGAAGCUGCUGGGCCCGGAGCUGAGCCGGAUCCGGAGCGGUAGGGCGCGAGGUGCUUGGAGGAGGGAGGAUUGCCCCUGGAAAUGGGGAUGGACCCCGCUAACGUCCCGCUGGUUCUUGCUGGCCYGUGCUGGGGAGGGUGAUGAGGGCAGAGGGCCCUCUCCACCCAGCCUGGGGGAGCUGCCGGCCCCUGGGCUCGGCUGUCUCCAGGGGGCUCUGAUCCCACCUGGAUUUGAGAUGAAUUAUGGCUGGUCUCUGCACCCCAAAAUCCAGCUGCUGGGGCUCUGCUGCCCUGGGGAUGCCCAAAGGCGUCUGUGGAGCAGAAAGGGGCUCCCCGCUCCCAAAGCUCGACGCCGAGACGUAGCACAGGGCGCGGGGGUGGGGGCUCACGGUGCCUUUGUCCCCCCGCCCCAGAGAUGGCCCUGCCCCUGGAGCGCCUGGAUGCUGACCUGCCCCAGGACCUGCCCCCCGGCUACCUCUGGCGCCAGCGCCGCUCCCUGCCGACCUUCCCCCUCGCCCCCGGGAGCGGCGCCCAGACCCCCGCGGACCUCAGGUACGUGCUGCCCCGUGCCGGGGCCGCAGCCUGCGCCCGCCGCCCGCUCGGGGCGCUGACCCGUCCCCCUCUUCCAGGAGGAGCUCGGACUUGCUCUGCGCCGGCCAGUUCCCCACGGGGCUCAGCGACCUGGUGACGGGGAUGCAGGCCCCUGCCUCGCCGUGUGCCAGGAGCCGUGGCAGCCYGCGGGCUCGGCCCCGCUCCGCCCUGGCAGCCCAGGCUUCGGAGGCCGYGGGCCAGGGCUGCCGGGAGCGGACGGCCCCGGGGCGGGAAGGUGGCCAGGAGUGAGGGGAGCCGGGACCCCAGCCAGCUCCCCCCGCCCGGAGUAGGGGCGGCGCUGGCAGCACAGCGGGGCUGUAACGGGAGGAUGGUGCGAAAUAAAGACCCUGGAUGUAACCCCA
ensembl:lncRNA